AUUGAACGCUGGCGGCAGGCCUAACACAUGCAAGUCGAGCGAGCGGCGGACGGGUGAGUAAUGCCUGGGAAACUGCCUGAUGGAGGGGGAUAACUACUGGAAACGGUAGCUAAUACCGCAUACCAUCAGAUGUGCCCAGAUUGGAUUAGCUAGUUGGUGGGGUAAUGGCCUACCUAGGCGACGAUCCCUAGCUGGUCUGAGAGGAUGACCAGCCACACUGGAACUGAGACACGGUCCAGACUCCUACGGGAGGCAGCAGUGGGGAAUAUUGGACAAUGGGCGCAAGCCUGAUGCAGCCAUGCCGCGUGUGUGAAGAAGGCCUUCGGGUUGUAAAGCACUUUCAGCGGGGAGGCGUUACCCGCAGAAGAAGCACCGGCUAACUCCGUGCCAGCAGCCGCGGUAAUUC
rnacentral:rRNA from 1 species